rnacentral:pre_miRNA from 1 species
UUUGUACUCCCUCCGUCCCAAAAUUAUUGUCUUAAAUUUGUCUAAAUACGGAUGUAUCUAGUUACAUUUUAGUGUUAGAUACAUCUGUAUCUAAACAAAUGUAAGACAAGAAUUUUGGGACGGAGGGAAUACUAC